AGGACGAACGCUGGCGGCGUGCUUAACACAUGCAAGUCGAGCGGAAAGGCCCUUCGGGGUACUCGAGCGGCGAACGGGUGAGUAACACGUGAGUAAUCUGCCCCUAGCUCUGGGAUAGCUCCGGGAAACCGGGAUUAAUACCGGAUACGACCACUUUAGACAGUCUGUUAGUGGUGGAAAGAAUUUUGGCUAGGGAUGAGCUCGCGGCCUAUCAGCUUGUUGGUGGGUAAUGGCCUACCAAGGCGACGACGGGUA
rnacentral:rRNA from 1 species